rnacentral:rRNA from 1 species
AGUGAACGCUGGCGGUAGGCCUAACACAUGCAAGUCGAACGGCAGCACAGGAGAGCUUGCUCUCUGGGUGGCGAGUGGCGGACGGGUGAGGAAUACAUCGGAAUCUACUCUGUCGUGGGGGAUAACGUAGGGAAACUUACGCUAAUACCGCAUACGACCUACGGGUGAAAGCAGGGGACCUUCGGGCCUUGCGCGAUUGAAUGAGCCGAUGUCGGAUUAGCUAGUUGGCGGGGUAAAGGCCCACCAAGGCGACGAACCGUAGCUGGUCUGAGAGGAUGAUCAGCCACACUGGAACUGAGACACGGUCCAGACUCCUACGGGAGGCAGCAGUGGGGAAUAUUGGACAAUGGGCGCAAGCCUGAUCCAGCCAUACCGCGUGGGUGAAGAAGGCCUUCGGGUUGUAAAGCCCUUUUGUUGGGAAAGAAAUCCAGCUGGCUAAUACCCGGUUGGGAUGACGGUACCCAAAGAAUAAGCACCGGCUAACUUAGUGCCAGCCGCCGCAGUAA